rnacentral:rRNA from 1 species
AUGAAUGAAAAUAUUGUACAAUGGCGGUUCACGGGCUUUUAUGGUCGUCCGAACUGGAACGAUCGCAGUUUAUCUUGGGAAGACAUUCGUAAUCUGCAUCACAAGGGGAACCAUCCUUGGGUAAUUUUGGGGGAUUUCAAUGAAAUAUUAUAUACUUCGAAGAAAGAGGGUGGUAAUAUGAGACCAAAUGGCAUGAUGAGGGAAUUCCGUGAAUGUCUUAUGGACUGUGGGUUGGAGGAUUUAGGAUAUAUCGGCGAUCCCUUUACUUGGAGUAGAGGUGACACUCGAGAGUGUCUUGACCGUGCAGUGUGCAAUCUAGGGUGGGCUCAUAAAUUUUCUCGUGCGGCUGUGAUUAACGAAGAACAUGUUCACUCUGACCACCUUCCGCUGGUCCUGGAUAUGAACUAUCUGGGUGAUAGUAUUUUUAGACGAUCGACGGGGUGUGUAAAACAAUUUGAAGCCAAAUGGCUAAAAGAAGAGACUGUUAAUGAAAUCGUGAAGGCAUCUUGGGAAAAAACAAAGUUAACAGGCGUUGGUCCUUCCCUUGCUGACCGUACGAAAGCCAUCCAUGCCGAUUUGCACCAUUGGGACCGUGAGAUUCUUAAGGGUCCUAAGCGGAGAAUUCAAAAAUUGAAAAAAAGAGUUAGAGAGAUUGAGACGUGGUCCAAUGAAUACUGA